rnacentral:rRNA from 1 species
UAACACGUGGGGAACCUGCCCCAUAGUCUGGGAUACCACUUGGAAACAGGUGCUAAUACCGGAUAAGAAAGCAGAUCGCAUGAUCAGCUUUUAAAAGGCGGCGUAAGCUGUCGCUAUGGGAUGGCCCCGCGGUGCAUUAGCUAGUUGGUAAGGUAAAGGCUUACCAAGGCGAUGAUGCAUAGCCGAGUUGAGAGACUUAUCGGCCACAUUGGGACUGAGACACGGCCCAAACUCCUACGGGAGGCAGCAGCC